UCCGAGUUGACCCCGGCAGUCUCCUAUGAGUCCCCACCAUCACGUGCUGGCAACAUAGAACGAGGGUUGCGCUCGUUGCGGGACUUAACCCAACAUCUCACGACACGAGCUGACGACAACCAUGCACCACCUGUGAACCAGCCCCAAAGGGGAAGGACUGUUUCCAGCCCGGUCCGGUCCAUGUCAAGCCUUGGUAAGGUUCUUCGCGUUGCAUCGAAUUAAUCCGCAUGCUCCGCCGCUUGUGCGGGCCCCCGUCAAUUCCUUUGAGUUUUAGCCUUGCGGCCGUACUCCCCAGGCGGGGCGCUUAAUGCGUUAGCUACGGCACGGAUCCCGUGGAAGGAAACCCACACCUAGCGCCCACCGUUUACGGCGUGGACUAC
rnacentral:misc_RNA from 1 species